rnacentral:rRNA from 1 species
ACGAACGCUGGCGGCAUGCCUCACACAUGCAAGUCGAACGCGACCUUCGGGUCUAGUGGCGCACGGGUGCGUAACGCGUGGGAACCUGCCUUUAGGUUCGGAAUAACUCAGAGAAAUUUGAGCUAAUACCGGAUGAUGUCUUCGGACCAAAGAUUUAUCGCCUUUAGAUGGGCCCGCGUUGGAUUAGCUAGUUGGUGGGGUAAAGGCCUACCAAGGCGACGAUCCAUAGCUGGUCUGAGAGGAUGAUCAGCCACACUGGGACUGAGACACGGCCCAGACUCCUACGGGAGGCAGCAGUGGGGAAUAUUGGACAAUGGGCGAAAGCCUGAUCCAGCAAUGCCGCGUGAGUGAUGAAGGCCUUAGGGUUGUAAAGCUCUUUUACCCGAGAUGAUAAUGACAGUAUCGGGAGAAUAAGCUCCGGCUAACUCCGUG